AACGAACGCUGGCGGCAUGCCUAACACAUGCAAGUCGAACGAGACCUUCGGGUCUAGUGGCGCACGGGUGCGUAACGCGUGGGAACCUGCCCUUAGGUUCGGAAUAACUCCCCGAAAGGGGUGCUAAUACCGGAUAAUGUCUUCGGACCAAAGAUUUAUCGCCUUUGGAUGGGCCCGCGUUGGAUUAGCUAGUUGGUAGGGUAAAAGCCUACCAAGGCGACGAUCCAUAGCUGGUCUGAGAGGAUGAACAGCCACACUGGGACUGAGACACGGCCCAGACUCCUACGGGAGGCAGCAGUGGGGAAUAUUGGACAAUGGGCGAAAGCCUGAUCCAGCAAUGCCGCGUGAGUGAUGAAGGCCUUAGGGUUGUAAAGCUCUUUUACCCGGGAUGAUGAUGACAGUACCGGGAGAAUAAGCUCCGGCUAACUCCGUG
rnacentral:rRNA from 1 species